rnacentral:sRNA from 1 species
AUGUAUCCUUAGUACACUGCAACUUGUCCCUACCGUCCGCACCUACCUGGCGACUGCUCGCUACUUUUUGUUAGCC